CCGUCGCACCUACCGAUUGAAUGAUUCGGUGAAGCUUUCGGAUUGCGCCACUGGCCUCGGUCGGCAGCGUGAGAAGUUAUCUAAACCUCAUCAUUUAGAGGAAGGUGAAGUCGUAACAAGGUUUCCGUAGGUGAACCUGCGGAAGG
rnacentral:rRNA from 4 species